rnacentral:tRNA from 1 species
UGACUGGGCAGUUUUGGGGAAUAUUUUAUUGUAAAUGAAGGGGGAUGCCAGUUA